GGGGAAAGAUGUACCCCCGGAGACGUAAAGCCAGGAAGGUUUUGUUCACGUCGGUUUGCGCUCUCAGCGUACCCCACAGACUUCCCUUGAAUGCAGAACUCCUGCGACCUGACUUGAGAGACCCUAAUACUGAAUCGAAAGCCUUUGCGUCAUCCUCACCGGUUGAGUAUUUUAUCUCAAGAGAAAAAUGUUGUUUUCCAAAUGAAAAUUCACAGGUAAUAAACAUCCUAAAGGGGUUUAAAUGUAUAUGUAUAAGCCCUUAAGUUAGGCUACUAAGUAACAAUGAGAUCUUUCUUCACGCUUCUCUAUCUACAGCUGUGGAAUUGAGAAAAGGGUGACUGCAGGACCGUCGUGUCAUGAAAGCCCUUCGUGUCACCGCUGAAUCCAGCUAAAGCAGAUUGAGUAUUUCCCCUCUACCACUCCGUACAGAGACAACUGCUGGUCAGGAAGCUAGACGUGAAGCUGAAACUCAUCCAGCCCGAACUACAGCAAGUCACUGCUCGAAGACACCCUGGGAUUUAGCAUAACUCGUUAGGAGUGCUCCGGGUGAUGGAUAAACACAAUUAAUUAGGUUUAUCUUUGAUAAAUAGAAGCAGCAGCGUAGAUUGUGAUUCUUUUAAAC
rnacentral:lncRNA from 14 species